rnacentral:rRNA from 1 species
GACGAACGCUGGCGGCGUGCCUAAUACAUGCAAGUAGAACGCAGUUGCGAACGGGUGAGUAACGCGUAGGUAACUGCCUCAUAGCGGGGGAUAAUUAUCGGAAACGAUAGCCAACACCGGAUACUGUGAGCUUGACCUGCGUUGUAUUAGCUAGUUGGUGAGGUAAAGGCCCACCAAGGCGACGAUACAUAGCCGACCUGAGAGGAUGAUCGGCCAAACUGGAACUGAGACACGGCCCAGAAUCCUAAGGGAGGCAGCAGUGGGGAAUAUUCGGCAAUGGACGAAAGUCUGACCGAGCAACGCCGCGUGUAUGAAGAAGGCAUUCGGGUUGUAAAGUACUGUCAGCGGGGAGGCGUUACCAGCAGAAGAAGCACCGGCUAAAUUCGUGCCAGCAGCCGCGGUAAUUC